ensembl:lncRNA
AUGUUCGAACAUAAGGAUGUUCAUAAGUGUACGUGGUACCAGAACACCCUAGGUCAAAGAUCAAUGAUCGAUUUUGUAAUUAUAUCGUCUGAUCUGAGGCCGCAUGUUCUGGACACUCGGGUAAAGAGAGGGGCAGAGCUGUCAACUGAUCACCAUCUGGUUGUGAGCUGGGUCAGAGGAUGGGGGAAGACUCGGGACAGACCCGGUAAACCCAAGCGUGUAGUGAGGGUGAACUGGGAACGUCUGGAGGAGGCCCCGGUCCAAAAGAUUUUCAACUCACACCUCCGGCGGAGCUUCUCUCACAUUCCUAUGGAGGUAGGGGACAUUGAACCAGAAUGGUGUAUAUUCAAAACCUCCAUUGCUGAAGCCGCGGCGGUGAGUUGUGGCCUCAAGGUCUUAGGUGCAUCAAGGGGCGGUAACCCUCAAACCCCGUGGUGGACACCGGUGGUCAGGGAAGCCGACCAACGACUGAAGAAGGAGGCCUUCCGGGUUAUGAUAUCCGGUGGUACUCCGGAGGCAGUUGCAGUGUACCGACAGGCUAGAAGGGCAGCAGCCUCUGCCGUGAUGGAGGCAAAGCAGCGAGUAUGGGAGGAGUUUGGGGUAACUAUGGAGAAGGACUUUCUGUCGGCACCAAAGUGCUUCUGGAAGACCAUCCAGCACCUCAGGAGGGGGAAACGGGGAACCAUCCAAGCUGUGUACAGUAAGGAUGGGACCCUGUUGACCGCGACUGAGGAGGUUAUCAGGCGGUGGAAGGAACACUUUGAGGAACUCCUGAAUCCAACUACUACGCCCUCUUUGGUAGAGGCGGAGCUGGAGGCCGAGGAGGGAUCAUCGUCAAUUGGCCUGGCGGAGGUCACUGAGGUAGUCAAACAACUGUGCAGUGGCAAAGCCCCGGGGAUUGAUGAGAUCCGUCCAGAGAUGCUGAAAGCAAUGGGUGUUGGGGGGUGGUCUUGGAUGACACGCCUCUUCAACAUUGCGUGGGAGUCUGGGACGGUGCCAAAAGAGUGGCAGAUCGGGGUGGUGGUACCCCAUGAAGAGUCUCCAUCUUCAACUACCGUCUCACUUUCUCUAGCUAACUGGCCGCAGCACGCGACUGCUUCAGGGGUCAGGGGUCACCGCAUAAAAAAUACUUUAUUGCGUUAA